AAAUUUAGGUUAACCAUUUAAACCAAGGACCUUCAAAGCCCUAAAUACGAGCUAACCCCUCAUAAUUUCUG
rnacentral:tRNA from 1 species